rnacentral:lncRNA from 1 species
GUGGUGGGUAUCGCGACCAGGAGGGGGAAAGAAAGGGUGAAACCCUACUUGUUCAAUCAAGGUCAAAAUUCAGCAAAUUAAUGGUGGUUCUUGACACAAAUCGAAUGCAUGAGACUGGAUACAACUUAAUCUAAGUAUAUUGAUCAUAAGGAAUCACAUUAGCAAGGACUCGAAAACGGAAGGUUAACAGGUCAAGCAGAGGCGAGGAAACAAGCGUGAACACUAACGCUCGAGGUAAGUGACUUUCGAUUCACUUCUUAGUAUACAUAUAGAGUUUUCUUGUUAUGGUUGAAUGGGAUGAUUGAUGUAUAUAAAAUGGCCGACAAGUAGGUAUGUAUGAAUGCAUUUAGGAAAAUUACGUAAGUACAUGCACGUGUGAGCUAAGGUAUGCACGGGUGUAGUUAUGAUUCAUUUUAUGAAUGUAUGUAAGUAUGGAGUUAUGUAUGCAUGUAUGUAUAUAUGUAGGUAUUGGUGUAUGUAUGUACGUAAGUAGUUAUGUAUGAGCAUGAGCAUUAUGUAUUUGAAUAUGAAAGUACAUACGUGUGUAGGUACGAACGUAUAUAUAUAUGUGGAUGCAAGUAAGUAUGUAUGUAUGUAUGUGAGUAGGUAUGUGUGUAUGUAGUUAUGUAUGUAUGUAUGUAAAUACAUAUGCGAAGAUGUAAUCAUGUAUGUAUGUAAUUAGAUGCGUGGGUAUGCAAGUAAAGGUAUGUAUGUAUGUAGAUGUGUAUUAUGCGUAUGCGAAGAUACGUAGGUAUAUAUGAAUGUAUGUAGAGAAGUAGUAAUGCAUGCGCGAAUGUAGAUAUGGGGUUGGUAUAGAAGAAGGUACGUAUGAGUAUAUGCAGGUAUGUAGAAAUAUAGGAGGACAUGUACGUAUGUAGAAAUAUAGGAGGACAUGUACGUAUGUAGACGCAUAUGUAUACAUGUAAACAUGUACAUGUGCAUGAUUUAGAUACGUAGAAUUUUAACGUUACUAAUUAUGCGUUUGAGGUUGGUAUGUGAUGCAGGAACAAGUACACCGGAUUCUUACGAAACUUAAACCGAACCCGGAAUAAGAGGAUGAGAAAGAAUAAUUGGAUGAAUUAAUGUUAAAUUGACGAACGUUAUUCAAUCUUUAAUUACAUGAGAUUAAUGUUAUAUGAUGUUGCCUUUGACUAAUGGUUAAGUUGUAUGUGAUGCCCACAGGUGUUACACGGACUUCUUCUGCUGCUAUGGAAGUGAAGCGGACGUAGAUCGAGUCAAGAGCAAGGAUUGUACGGAUAGAUUGGUCACAUAGUUGAAGUAUAUAACGUUUGGAAAUCUAAAUUUUAGUAUGAAUGUUGUAAAAUUCUUUUAUAGUACGUUUAACAUUUUUAGGAUUUGGAUCCUUCGUGAAAGAAAUGUUGUUAAUACGGAAGAAAAUUUUAAAGCUCUUUUUCCGCUGCGUUAUUU